UGAAUGAAGAGUUUGAUCCUGGCUCAGGAUGAACGCUGACAGAAUGCUUAACACAUGCAAGUCGACUUGAAGCAACUUCGGUUGUGGAAAGUGGCGGACGGGUGAGUAACGCGUAAAGAACUUGCCCUUCAGUCUGGGACAACCAUUGGAAACGAUGGCUAAUACCGGAUAUUAUGGAACUCUCGCAUGGGAGGAUCAUGAAAGCUAUAUGCGCUGAAGGAGAGCUUUGCGUUCCAUUAGCUAGU
rfam:Cetobacterium ceti strain ATCC 700028 genome assembly, contig: EI52DRAFT_scaffold00012.12